rnacentral:rRNA from 1 species
CCUACGGGAGGCAGCAGUGAGGAAUAUUGGUCAAUGGGCGCUAGCCUGAACCAGCCAAGUAGCGUGAAGGAUGACUGCCCUAUGGGUUGUAAACUUCUUUUAUAUGGGAAUAAAGUGCAGUAUGUAUACUGCUUUGCAUGUACCUUAUGAAUAAGGAUCGGCUAACUCCGUGCCAGCAGCCGCGGUAAUACGGAGGAUCCUAGCGUUAUCCGGAUUUAUUGGGUUUAAAGGGAGCGUAGGCGGGUGGUUAAGGCAGUUGUGAAAGUUUGCGGCUCAACCGUAAAAUUGCAGUUGAUACUGGCAGCCUUGAGUACAGUAGAGGUAGGCGGAAUUCGUGGUGUAGCGGUGAAAUGCUUAGAGAUAACGAAGAACUCCGAUUGCGAAGGCAGCCUGCUGGACUGUAACUGACGCUGAUGCUCGAAAGUGUGGGUAUCAAACAGGAUUAGAUACCCUAGUAGUC